CUUCAGGCUCUGAACCUCUCAUGUGGGCUUCUAGGGACUCCCAGAAAGCAGUGAAUAUACUGUUUAGUCGCCUCUCAGUUUCCCACCAUGUAUUAGACGUGUCGGCGAUGCGAGAUGCUUCCGCCAUCUUGGUGGUCUCAGGGACGGUAGCUUUUGGGCUGCAUGGAGCCUGUAUUAGCCCAUUGCUUCGCCCAGGAGUCGUUUGGGGGUGGACCGGGAUGACCCCCACCGGUCCAGAGGGGGGGGGAACGAGGGCUUGCAGUCAGCUUUCCGGCGUGGCCUUGCUGCUGGGGAUCGGCCGCCUCCCCUGCGCCUGCCACGCUUGUAGGCCUCAUUGUGUGCUGUGCUCAGUUCGUUGCUUGAGAGGUACCGAUCUCUGCACCUCGGUGUCCUCUCUCGAGUGGUAGCUUUGAGGUCAC